ensembl:lncRNA
AAUCUGUCUUUGACAAGAUCCCCAGACUUUAUCCAGUCAGCUGAAGGCCUGAAUCAGGACAAAAAGACCAGCUUCCCUGAGCAAGAGAGAAUUCUCCAGCAGACCACCUUCAAACUUCAUCUUUCUCUGCACCGUCGGCUCUCCUGGGUAUCCACCUACUGGCCACACUGUGGAUUUGGAUUUGCCAGCCUCCAUAAUCAUGAUGCUGCCUCAGCGUGGCUUGAUGAGCAGUGUGUAGGUCCACACCUGGGAUCCAAACCUGCUAACAACCCUGGGCCGCUGAAGCAGAGAGCACAAACUUAACCACUAUGCCACUGGGCCAGCCCGUCUUUUAUAGGCAUUAUCUAUUGAUGGAACACUUUGGAAGAUAAGUCUGCAGCUCGCCUUUAUCACUGCUCCCUACCAUCCUUUGUAGUUUUGCGAUGGGUCGUGGUGUAAUCCUUACCAGUGGAGCCUGAGGAAAAGUCCUCUGGGAGGUGUUAGACCUCAUAGGUCCUGCCUCCCACUCUCUCAGCUUACCUCUUUGCUCCGGCCAUUGCUAUAACAAGCAGAUGUUCAUGUGGGUGUAGCCCGCAGCACUUCAUCUCUGUGAAUUUCUUGGACCUGUGAAUUUCUGCCUUGGACCGUCUCUGUACCUCGCUGUAGGACACUUUGGGAAUAUGCUCAGCCGUGUUCACUCAUUCAUAGAACUGGAAGUGCAACACAGAGUUAACUUCCUUGGGUUAACUCUUGUCUAAUGAGAGACAGAAGCUGGUAGACAAAUGUUUCUUUCUUCAGUGUCUUGCCCUGACAGCCCUGAAGGGCACUCUACAUGGUUUUUUAGAGGACUCCAAUAGGACCCAGCCACAAUGGCCUAUGCUAUUGUUCUGGAAAGCACUCGCUAAUAAACAACCUGCAUGCAAGUAUCUGCCUCAUAGUUCAUUUUCUACACAACUGGGCCUAAGGUCACACACGUUGUUCUGAAGAUGCUUUAAUGUUCUCCACGUGUAGUUGAUGGACGACUGAAGAUUAUCCUUGGAAUCGAGCAUCUCUUCCUAGCUUCCAUUUCCCACCAGCUCUUGCACCUGCCUGCCAUUUCCUGAAUGCCAGUGUGACUAAUGAAUGCCAGAGGCAGCAGAUGGGAAGGGUUUUAGGAUAGCUGACCUGACUUUGACGUGGCCAUCUCCAAAGCAUUUUUCUGACUGAGAGCCACAGGCCCUCAACAUCAACGUAAUUUGGAUACACUCAAGAAUCCACAGGCUUCACUCUGGAGACGAAGGGACUUAAACCACAUAUGGAAAGAGAGCAACUGUUGCUUCAAGUAAACAGAUGGAACUGUGACCUGAGUAUUUUGCCAAAGGGAAAUAAGAAAAGAAAGUAAAAGACUUGGGGUUGGGAGCCAGAAGAGAAUAAGCAUAGACAGCAGCACAAAGGUCAAUGGACUCAAGUUGAACAAGGUAGUGGGACGGGCAGGUGAGGAGAUUCACCCCAUCCUUGUCUGUACUUUCUACACAUUUCUCUCUCAUAACAGUGGUUCCCAGCAGCAUCAUUAUCUGGAGACCCUUUAAAAAUUUCAGAUUCCUGGGCCCCACCCACAGCUUGGUGAACCUGAGAAAGUCAAGUUGUUUUUAAGUUGAGCAUCACUGAGUAAUCAGAGCACAUAGGAGCUUGGGAAGCCGUUGCAUUUUCUGAAUAUGAAAAAGAAUGCUAUCUUGUUAUGUUGUGAAGCAGGUGAAGCUAUGUGCUAGGGACCUGC